CCUGAGAAACGGCUACCACAUCCAAGGAAGGCAGCAGGCGCGCAAAUUACCCACUCCCGGCACGGGGAGGUAGUGACGAAAAAUAACGAUACGGGACUCAUCCGAGGCCCCGUAAUCGGAAUGAGUACACUUUAAAUCCUUUAACGAGGAUCCAUUGGAGGGCAAGUCUGGUGCCAGCAGCCGCGGUAAUUCCAGCUCCAAUAGCGUAUAUUAAAGUUGUUGCGGUUAAAAAGCUCGUAGUCGAAUUUGUGUUCCACACUGUUGGUUCACCGCUCGCGGUGUUUAACUGGCAUGUUAUGUGGAACGUCCUACCGGUGGAUGGUGUUUGAAAUUAUUGUUCUUCACCGCACGUAUGUGGCUCAGGCAAUUAUGUGUUACUACAUAUUCGCUGCCAGCUUAAUUUUAUUAUUGGGUUCGAUGUUGUUAUUGUGUAUUAUGGCCUCUCAUAUACAUAUUAUGUGUUAUUAAACUCUGUUUCUUAAUUGCAUAUUUAUGCUAUAUGGGCCAUAUUUAUUAUGAUAACACGCGGACCUCCAAUAAUAAGUAAACCGGUUGAGUUGGAUUUUGUGAUUAUUGUGUGUGCACAUUAAAUUGUUCUGUUGUUCAUGUGCGAUUUGUGUGUGUUGAACGUUGAUAAUUUUACCGUAAGUGUUUAGCCGUUAAGAGCGGCGGCAGGCAUCCUAUUGCAAUCCCGUCGCGGUGCUCUUAAUUGAGUGUCGAGGUGGCCCGGUACGUUUACUUUGAACAAAUUAGAGUGCUUAAGGCAGGCUAAAAUUUUGCCUGAAUAUUGUGUGCAUGGAAUAAUGGAAUAGGACCUCGGUUCUAUUUUGUUGGUUUUCGGAACUCCGAGGUAAUGAUUAAUACGGACAGAUGGGGGCAUUCGUAUUGCGACGUUAGAGGUGAAAUUCUUGGACCGUCGCAAGACGGACAGAAGCGAAAGCAUUUGCCAAAAAUGUUUUGAUUGAUCAAGAACGAAAGUUAGAGGUUCGAAGGCGAUCAGAUACCGCCCUAGUUCUAACCAUAAACGAUGCCAGCUAGCGAUCCGCCGAAGUUCCUCCGAUGACUCGGCGGGCAGCUUCCGGGAAACCAAAGCUUUUGGGUUCCGGGGGAAGUAUGGUUGCAAAGCUGAAACUUAAAGGAAUUGACGGAAGGGCACCACCAGGAGUGGAGCCUGCGGCUUAAUUUGACUCAACACGGGAAACCUCACCAGGCCCGGACACCGGAAGGAUUGACAGAUUGAGAGCUCUUUCUUGAUUCGGUGGGUGGUGGUGCAUGGCCGUUCUUAGUUGGUGGAGCGAUUUGUCUGUUUAAUUCCGAUAACGAACGAGACUC
rnacentral:rRNA from 1 species